ACCAGCAUGGCAUAGUAUUUUGAGUGUUGGACUAGAACUCUAGAGACCAGGGUUCAAUUCCCAGCUUGGGAA